rnacentral:lncRNA from 1 species
AUUGAUGCCUCUAAUACCUAUGUUUAUCAGAAAAUAUAAGUUUAUUCAAUUAUUGGCAUCAGUAUACAGCAUUGCAUUGCAUAAGCUAAGAAACUUUGUGGCUCUCAUUUUAAUAUGGAACCGAACUGUCUACAGCAGCACUGAAGAUGAUGCUGGUUGGUUUCGCAUUCCAAUUGAUAAGGUGGGCGAAAGCCUCUUUCUAAGCAGUCACUCUGGCAAGACUCAUGAGUGCAACCCACUAAAUCUCUGCAUGAGCGUCGUUGAACUACAAUGCAAUACAUCACAUAAUAAAAAAAUUAGUAAUACAGUCUAUAAAACAAAAAUAUUUGCUCAUAGAUUAAUUAAUUUCAACAUUUGGAAACAACAUGUAAAAUAUAAAUAAUGUUGCUUACUUGCUUGGCAGGACGGCAACGUUGAGAACAUGAACACAAUGACCAAUAAGGCAACAGCUAUGUUGUACAUGACAAUCCUUGUGUUUCUCUUGAUGAGGUGCCAUGAGGAAAAAUGUGACUUAUGUUCGAUCUUUGUUUUUCAUUUCCAUGCUCCUUUACAGGUGUUUAUAUAGACGCACAAUAAAAUCUUAGAUAUCAAUUGGUUGAUUUCAUGCAUUUAUGUACCUUCCCUAAUUAGUAUCAGCGUAUCUUGCUAGUUUUACAUAAAUACCAAAGAUUUUAUUUUGGAAAAAUAUAUAUAUUUCAUCAUUAUAGCAUUUAAUGUUGAAGAUAACAUAUUGAGCCAAAAUAAAAUCUUUAGGUAUCGGCACUACAUUUAUGUCUCCAUUAUAAAAUAGUACCCAUACCAAUCUUGUUGGCUAUUUUGUAUCAUCCACACUUAUGUAAGUAUAUCUUACAUUUAUUUUACAUUAUUUUUUGUGUGGUAUAUUGUUUUAGUAUAUACAGAGGCUUGCACAAUCAAAUCUUAUGCAUUGAUGAACCUUGCAUAUACAAGAUCUCAAAAAUAUAUAUUGCUGGAGUACUCCAUACUCAUGAAUAUUAGGUAUCAAUAUUGCACUUUUUCUGCUAAAUUAAUGUUGAUGUAUCUUACUGAAUCUUUAUAAAUAUCAUGCAAUCGUUUGUAUAUGUUAUAAUUAUUGAUAUUGUUUUUUGCGGCAUUUAUUGACCUCUAUUAUAUGGUGGCAUGUAUAAUUAUUGAUAUUGCUUAUUUUCGCUUCAUUUGUAUUAUACAUUGUUAUAAAUUUUGCACUUAUAUUCUAUCAACAAUAAAUAAAUGCUUGGACAAACGUAAGCUUGUACUUACUGACGAAUAUGCAGCCCGUCAGUAGCAACACCAUUGUAGUAAACAUUUCAGAGUUUUUCCCGUUAUGCUUAUAACCGGCUAUAAUAAUUGAUCUUUAAUGUUUCAUGCUUCAGGGUAUUAUACAAAUGUCUCCCAUUUUAUUGAACAAAUGCAAGGGCACAACAACCAAGAUCUUUCUUGUGGGUCUUGCAUAAUUGUAAACUGAUUACAUGGUUUCAUGCUUAUGCACAUCUUAUUAUUCCUUAGUUAAAGUAGGAUUUGUAGUACUUUAUGCUUGAGUUGAUGUAUGUCAUCUGAAGUAGAAUGGAGCCUGAACCAAGUUGUAUGACUUAUGUUCACUAGGUGCACAUACUGCUGCUCUUCUAUAUGGAAUGUGAUACUGGGGUAUUAAUACUUAGUGUUGCUAUCUCAGAUAUUGCUAAAAAAAUCUCCGGUUUUGUAACUUGGUACGCUUGAGUGGUGCAAUACUUUUCAACUAUUUGCAUCUUUAAUUUAAAAACAUUGUAACCCGUUGACGCUGAAAAGUGGCACGAUCAUAAAGAGUACCUUGAACUAUGUCAAGAUUAAUUCAGACUUAUUAUUGAAGUCACUAUGGGAUGGAUCUCUUCCAGAAGAUCAAAAUGGAUAUGAAGAUGGUCUAAAACAGAGCCCCGAUGCAAAAGUUGUGACAAGUUCAAAGAUUGGAUAUAGUAUUGACCCUAUAGUCUCGGUAGCCGAACCGGGACUAAAGGUAUUGGGCUUUAGUACCGACCCUAUAGUCCCGGUUCCCGAACCGGGAGAAGUGGGCCUUAUGAACCGGGACAAAUGGGACUUUUUCUACUAGUGCAUAUUGGACCUGCCCAAUAAAUAUUUCAGAAAUACAUAAUAAUCCUAGAGGCUAGUUUGGACCAUUCACGCAUGUCAAGAGGUGGGACUAAAAUUUAGUCCCACAUUGCUAGUUGAGAGAGAGUUACACCUCCACAUAAGGUGAGCUCUUUCCCCACUUUUAUGAGCAUGAUAAAAAGAGAGGUUCUCACACGCUCCUCCUUUGCCGCCCUUCUCGCCUCGCCUCGCCUCAUCACGACACACUGUGUCGCGCCACGGGCUGUGGGAAUGCCUAGAGCAUGCAUGAAGCUGAAGCGUUUUGCUGAUGUAGUUAGUGGAGAUUGGUUACGAGUUUUGUUCGGCUUUGGCUGCUACAUCUCCGUCUCCCGUCUCUUUGUUUCAUUUCCCGUCGCAGCCUACUGGCCUCCUCUUUCUGUGCUUAUAAAAUAGAGGUCUCUCCUCUCCAUAGACACACAGAAACAGAGCACCACUUGCCUCCUACUACCAAGUUCCAGAGCACUACGCUACCAGGUUCUUCCCCAUCCCGGCUUAUGGUGUGCACCGCCGAUAGGGACAGUAGGCCUCCAGAACCACGCGACAUUGAGUCAUGCACGGGUGAAGGGAAAUAAGGUGUUUGGGGAGCGCUCUAUGCGACUACUGGCUUCUCCACCCCAGAGGUCGCUACAGACGUCGAAGACACUUCCCCCAAUGAUGACUUCUUUUAGGACAUCGGCAACCUCUUCGGUAACAAGGGCGACAGCAUCACGAAUGGCGCCGCCCCUGCUCCUGUCUAGGACGUGUUCACUUCUUCUCUAUUUAAUAUGUUUUUCCUAAUUUUAGUUCAAUUUCAUGUUCUAGCAAUUGGACUAGAUAUGCCAUGUUCAAAUUCACUACUACAUAUGUUAUUUUCUCACUCUCUGAUAGACUACAUGUCUAGUUUAAUCUUUACUAUUAUGUUUAAGUUUUAUCUACUAUUUUUAUGGAUUAAAUCAUAUGGUAAACUGCUCAUAUUCCCAACAGGCCCCAUCUACAUGUAUGGGUGUAACAAACACAUCAUAUGUGGUCAGUCUUCCUUCAUCAAAAUGUUCCAUGGCAAUCCAAUAGGAUUGAUGCCUCUAAUACCAAUUUUUAUUAGAAAAUAUAAGUUUAUUCAAUUAUUGGCAUCAGUAUACAACAUUGCAUUGCAUAAGCUAAGAAACUUUGUGGCUCUCAUUUUAAUAUGGAACCGAACUGUCUACAACAGCACUGAAGAUGAUGCUGGUUGGUUUCGCAUUCCAAUUGAUAAGGUGGGCGAAAGCCUCUUUCUAAGCAGUCACUCUGGCAAGACUCAUGAGUGCAACCCGCUAAAUCUCUGCAUGAGCGGCGUUGAACUACAAUGCAAUACAUCACAUAAAAAAAUUAGUAAUACAGUCCAUGAAAAAAUAUAUUUUCUCAUAGAUUAAUUAAUUUCAACAUUUGGAAACAGCAUGUAAAAUAUAAAUAGUGUUGCUUACUUGCUUGGCAGGACGGCAACGUUGAGAACAUGAACACAAUGACCAAUAAAGCAACAACUAUGUUGUCCAUGACCAUCCUUGUGUUUCUCUUGAUGAGUGCCAUGAGGAAAAAUGUGACUUAUGUUCAAUCUUUGUUUUUCAUUUCCAAGCUCCUUUACAGGUGUUUAUAUAGAUGCACAAUAAAAUCUUAGAUAUCAAUUGGUUGAUUUCAUGCAUUUAUGUACCUCCCCUAAUUAGUAUCAGCGUAUCUUGCUAGUUUUACAUAAAUACCAAAGAUUUUAUUUUGGAAAAAAAUUAUAUAUUCCAUCAUUAUGGCAUUUAAUGUUGAAGAUAACAUAUUGAGCCAAAAUAAAAUCUUUAGGUAUCGGCACUACAUUUAUGUCUCCAUUAUAAAAUAGUACCCAUACCGAUCUUGUUGGCUAUUUUGUAUCAUCCACACUUAUGUAUGUAUAUCUUACAUUUAUUUUAUAUUAUUUUUUGUGUGGUAUAUUGUUUUAGUAUAUACAGAGGCUUGCACAAUCAAAUCUUAUGCAUUGAUGAAUCUUGCAUACACAUGAUCUCAAAAAUAAGUAUUGCUGGAGUACUCCAUAGUCAUGAAUAUUAGGUAUCAUUAACUUUUUCUGCUAAAUUAAUGUUGAUGUAUCUUACUGAAUCUUCAUAAAUAUCAUGCAACCGUUUGUAUAUGUUAUAAUUAUUGAUAUUGUUUUUUGCUGCAUUUAUUAACCUUUAUUAUAUGGUGGCAUGUAUAAUUAUUGAUAUUGCUUCUUUUCGCUUCAUUUGUAUUAUACAUUGUUAUAAAUUUUGCAUUUAUAUUCUAUCAAUAAUAAAUAAAUGCUUGGACAAACGUAAGCUUGUACUUACUGACGAGUAUGCAGCCCGUCAGUAGCAACAUCAUUGUAGUAAACAUUUCAGAGUUUUUUCCCAUUAUGCUUAUAACCGGCUAUAAUAAUUGAUCUUUAAUGUUUGAUGCUUCAGUGUAUUUAUACAAAUGUCUCCCAUUUUAUUGAACAAAUGGAAGGGCACAGCAACCAAGAUCUUUCUUGUGGGUCUUGCAUAAUUGUAAACUGAUUACAUGGUUUCAUGCUUAUGCACAUCUUACUAUUCCUUAGUUAAAGUAGGAUUUGCAGUACUUUAUGCUUGAGUUGAUGUAUGUCAUCUGAAGUAGAAUGGAGCCUGAACCAAGUUGUAUGACUCAUUUUCACUAGGUUCACAUACUGAUGCUCUUCUGUAUGGAAUGUGAUACUGGGGUAUUAAUACUUAGUGUUGCUAUCUCAGAUAUAGUUAAAAAAAUUCUCCGGUUUUGUAACCUGGUACGGUUGAGUGGUGCAAUACUUUUCAACUAUUUGCACCUUUUAUUUGAAAACAUUGUAAGUUGUUGACGCUGAAAAGUGGCACGAUCAUAAAGAGUAGCUUGAGUUAUGUCAAGAUUAAUUCAGACUUAUUGUUGAAGUCACUAUGGGAUGGAUCUCUUCGAGAAGAUCAAAAUGGAUAUGAAGAUGGUCUAAAACAGAGCCCAGAUGCAAAAGUUGUGACAAGUUCAAAGAUUGGAUAUAGUAUUGACCCUAUAGUCUCGGUAGCCGAACCGGGACUGAAGGUAUUGGGAUUUAGGACCAACCCUAUAGUCCCGGUUCACGAACCGGGACAAAUGGGCCUUAUGAACUGGGACGAAUGGGCCUUUUUCUACUAGUGCAUAUUGGACCUACCCAAUAAAUAUUUCAGAAAUUCAUAAUAAAUCCUAGAGGCUAGCUUGGACCAUUCACGCAUGUCAAGAGCUGGGACUAAAGUUUAGUCCCACAUUGCUAGUUGAGAGAGAGUUAAACCUCCUCAUAAGGUGAGCUCUUUCCCCACUUGUAUGAGCAUGAUAAAAAAGAGAGGUUCUCACGCGCUCCUCCUCUGCCGCCUGCCUCGCCUCACCUUGCCUCAUCACGACACACUGCGUCACGCCACGGGCUGCGGGAAUGCCUAGAGCAUGCAUGAAGCUGAAGCGUUUUGUUGCUGUAGUUAGUGGAGAUUGGUUACGAGGUUUGUUGGGCUUUGGCUGCCACGUCUCCGUCUCCCGUCUCAUUGUUUUAUUUCCCUUCGCAGCCUAUUUUCCUCCUCUUUCUGUGCUUAUAAAAUAGAGGUCUCUCCUCUCCAUAGACACACAGAAACAAAGCACCACUUGCCUCCUACUACCAAGUUCCAGAGCACUGCGCUACCAGGUUCUUCCCCAUCCCGGCUUAUGACGUGCAGUGCCGAUUGGGACAGUAGGCCUCCGGAACCACGCGACAUUGAGGCAUGUACGGGUGAAGGAAAAUAAGGUGUUUGGGGAACGCUCUGUGCGACUACUGGCUUCUCCACCCCAGAUGUCGCUACAGACGUCGAAGACACUUUCCCCAAUGAUGAAUUCUUUUAGGACAUCGGCAACCUCUUCGGUAAUAAGGGCAACAGCAUCACGAAUGCCGCCGCCCCUGCUCCUAUCUAGGACGUGUUCACUUCUCCUUUGUUUAAUAUGUUUUUUUCCUGAUUUUAGUUCAAUUUCUUGGUCUAGUAAUUGGACUAGAUAUGCCAUGUUCAAAUUCACUACUACAUAUGUUAUUUUCUCACUCUCCGAUAGACUACAUGUCUAGUUUAAUCUUUACUAUUAUGGUCAUGUUUUAUCUACUAUUUUUAUGGAAUAAAUCAUAUGGUAAACUGCUCAUAUUUUCAACAUGCCCCAUGUACAUGUAUUGGUGUAACAAACACAUCCUAUGUGGUCGGUCUUCCUUCAUCAAAAUGUUCCAUGGCAAUCCAAUGAGAUUGAUGCCUCUAAUACCUAUGUUUAUAAGAAAAUAUAAGUUUAUUCAAUUAUUGGCAUCAGUAUACAGAAUUGCAUUGCAUAAGCUGAGAAACUUUGUGGCUCUCAUUUUGAUAUGGAACCGAAUUGUCUACAGCAGCACUGAAGAUGAUGCUGGUUGGUUUCGCAUUCCAAUUGAUAAGGUGGGCGAAAGCCUCUUUCUAAGCAGUCACUCUGGCACGACUCAUGAGUGCAACCCGCUAAAUCUCUGCAUGAGCGUCGUUGAACUACAAUGCAAUACAUCACAUAAUAAAACAAAUUAGUAAUACAGUCCAUAAAACAAAAAAAAUUGCUCAUAGAUUAAUUAAUUUCAACAUUUGGAAACAACAUGUAAAAUAUAAAUAAUGUUGCUUACUUGCUUGGCAGGACGACAACGUUGAGAACAUGAACACAAUGACCAAUAAAGCAACAGCUAUGUUGUACACGACCAUCAUUGUGUUUCUCUUGAUGAGUGCCAUGAGGAAAAAUGUGACUUAUGUUCGAUCUUUGUUUUUCAUUUCCAAGCACCUUUACAGGUGUUUAUAUAGACACACAAUAAAAUCUUAGAUAUCAAUUGGUUGAUUUCAUGCAUUUAUGUACCUCCCCUAAUUAUUAUAAGUGUAUCUUGCUAGUUUUACAUAAAUACCAAAGAUUUUAUUUUAGAAAAAAUUAUAUAUUUCAAUAUUAUGGCAUUUAAUGUUGAAGAUAACAUAUUGAGCCAAAAUAAAAUCUUUAGGUAUCGGCACUACAUUUAUGUCUCCAUUAUAAAAUAGUACCCAUACCGAUCUUGUUGGCUAUUUUGUAUCAUCCACACUUAUGUAAGUAUAUCUUACAUUUAUUUUACAUUAUUUUUUGUGUGGUAUAUUGUUUUAGUAUAUACAGAGGCUUGCACAAUCAAAUCUUAUGCAUUGAUGAAUCUUGCAUAUACGAGAUCUCAAAAAUAAAUAUUGCUGUUGUACUCCAUACUCAAGAAUAUUAGGUAUCAUUAUUGCACUUUUUCUGCUAAAUUAAUGUCAAUGUAUCUUACUGAGUCUUAAUAAAUAUCAUGCAAUCGUUUGUAUAUGUUAUAAUUAUUGAUAUUAUUUUUUGCGGCAUUUAUUGACCUCUAUUAUAUGGUGGCAUACAUAAUUAUUGAUAUUGCUUCUUUUCGCUUCAUUUGUAUUAUACAUUGUUAUAAAUUUUGCAUUUAUAUCCUAUCAACAAUAAAUAAAUGCUUGGACAAACGUAAGCUUGUACAUACUGACGACUAUGCAGCCCGUAUGUAGCAACACCAUUGUAGUAAACAUUUCAGAGUUUUUCCCGUUAUGCUUAUAAUCGGCUAUAAUAAUUGAUCUUUGAUGUUUCAUGCUUCAGGGUAUUUAUAAAAAUGUCCCCUGUUUUAUUGAACAAAUGGAAGGGCACAACAACCAAGAUCUUUCUUGUGGGUCUUGCAUAAUUGUAGACUGAUUACAUGGUUUCAUGCUUAUGCACAUCUUAUUAUUCCUAAGUUAAAGUAGGAUUUGCAGUGCUUUAUGCUUGAGUUGAUGUAUGUCAUCUGAAGUAGAAUGGAGCCUGAACCAAGUUGUAUGACUCAUUUUCACUAGGUGCACAUACUGCUGCUCUUCUAUAUGGAAUGUGAUACUGGGGUAUUAAUACUUAGUGUUGCUAUCUCAGAUAUUGCUAAAAAAAUCUCCGGUUUUGUAACUUGGUACGCUUUAGUGGUGCAAUACUUUUCAACUAUUUGCACCUUUUAUUUAAAAGCAUUGUAACCCGUUGACGCUGAAAAGUGGCACGAUCAUAAAGAGUAGCUUGAACUAUGUCAAGAUUAAUUCAAAAUUAUUGUUGAAUUCACUAUGGGAUGGAUCUCUUCGAGAAGAUCAAAAUGGAUAUGAAGAUGGUCUAAAACAGAGCCCGAAUGCAAAAGUUGUGACAAGUUCAAAGAUUGGAUAUAGUAUCGACCGUAUGGUCUCGAUAGCCGUACCGGGACUAAAGGUAUUGGGUUUUAGCGCCGACCCUAUAGUCCCGGUUCCCAGACCAGGACAAAUGGGCCUCAUGAACUGGGACAAAUGGGCCUUUUUCUACUAGUGCAUAUUGGUCCUGCCCAAUAAAUAUUUCAGAAAUUCAUAAUAAAUCCUAGAGGCUAGCUUGGACCAUUCACGCAUGUCAAUAGGUGGGACUAAAGUUUAGUCCUAUAUUGCUAGUUGAGAGAGAGUUACACCUCCUCAUAAGGUGAGCUCUUUCCCCACUUGUAUGAGCAUGAUAAAAAGAGAGGUUCUCACGCGCUCCUCCUCUGCCGCCUGCCUCGCCUCACCUUGCCUCAUCACGACACACUGCGUCACGCCACGGGCUGCGGGAAUGCCUAGAGCAUGCAUGAAGCUGAAGCGUUUUGCUGCUGUAGUUAGUGGAGAUUGGUUACGAGGUUUGUUGGGCUUUGGCUGCUACGUCUCCAUCUCCCGUCUCUUUGUUUCAUUUCCCGUCGCAGCCUAUUUGCCUCCUCUUUCUGUGCUUAUAAAAUAGAGGUCUCUCCUCUCCAUAGACACACAGAAACAGAGCAUCACUUGCCUCCUACUACCAAGUUCCAUAGCACUGCGCUACCAGGUUCUUCCUCAUCCCAGCUUACGGCGUGCACCGCUGAUAGGGGAGAAUGAACACGUCCUAUACAGCCUAUUUGCCUCCUCUUUCUGUGCUUAUAAAAUAGAGGUAUCUCCUCUCCAUAGACACACAGAAACAGAGCACCACUUGCCUCCUACUACCAUGUUCCAGAGCACUACGCUACCAGGUUCUUCUCCAUCCCGGCUUAUGGCGUGCAUCACCGAUAGGGACAGUAGGCCUCCGGAACCACGCGACAUUGAGUCAUGCACGGGUGAAGGGAAAUAAGGUGUUUGGGGAGCGCUCUGUGCGACUACUGGCUUCUCCACCCCAGAUGUCGCUACAGAUGUUGAAGACACUUUCCCCAAUGAUGAAUUCUUUUAGGACAUCGGCAACCUCUUCGGUAACAAGGGCGACAGCAUCGUGAAUGGUGCCGCCCCUGCUCCUGUCUAGGACGUGUUCAUUCUCCGCUAUUUAAUAUGUUUUUUCCUGAUUUUAGUUCAAUUUCCUGUUCUAGUAAUUGGACUAGAUAUGCCUUGUUCAAAUUCACUACUACAUAUGUUAUUUUCUCACUCUCUAUUAGACUACAUGUCUAGUUUAAUCUUUACUAUUAUGGUCAUGUUUUAUCUACUAUUUUUAUGUAUUAAAUCAUAUGGUAGACUGCUCAUAUUUCCAACACGCCCCAUGUACAUGUAUGGGUGUAACAAACACAUCCUAUGUGGUCAGUCUUCCUUCAUUAAAAUGUUCCAUGGCAAUCCAAUGAGAUUGAUGCCUCUAAUACCUAUGUUUAUAAGUUUAUUCAAUUAUUGGCAUCAGUAUACAGCAUUGCAUUGCAUAAGCUGAGAAACUUUGUGGCUCUCAUUUUAAUAUGGAACUGAAUUGUCUACAGCAGCACUGAAGAUGAUGCUGGUUGGUUUCACAUUCCAAUUGAUAAGGUGGACGAAAGCCUCUUUCUAAGCAGUCACUCUGGCACGACUCAUGAGUGCAACCCGCUAAAUCUCUGCAUGAGCGUCGUUGAACUACAAUGCAAUCCAUCACAUAAUAAAAAAAAUUAGUAAUACAGUCCAUAGAACAAAAAUAUUUGCUCAUAGAUUAAUUAAUUUCAACAUUUGGAAACAGCAUGUAAAAUAUAAAUAAUGUUGCUUACUUGCUUGGCAGGACGGCAACUUUGAGAACAUGAACACAAUGACCAAUAAGGCAACAGCUAUGUUGUACAUGACCAUCCUUGUGUUUCUCUUGAUGAGUGCCAUGAGGAAAAAUAUGACUUAUGUUCAAUCUUUGUUUUUCAUUUCCAAGCUCCUUUACAGGUGUUUAUAUAGACGCAC